CCAAGUCUCUCCGUGUGCUCGGUAUCUUGAGCGUUUUAUCUCCCUGGAUGUUCCCAGGAGCCUCGUCUCAUCCCAGCUCAGGUGAGACCGCCGGGUCACAGAGCGGUUCAGCGGGCUGCCCAAGCUCCUGCCUGGAGUCUCCGGAUAAGCAACCCCAGGCCCUGAAACCAGUGCCGGUUAGCCGGAUGCUGGAACAUCCGUAUGGGUCAGAGCUGCAUUCUCAAUCCAUGGCAGCCACGGACUGCUCACCAAGCUCCCUCUGCCAUCAUUUGUUAAGGACCAGUACUUCCAACCCCUGGUAUCUUCCGGAUCUUCCACUAGCUGGAGCUGAAUGGAUAAAACGGCCCACUGAGUUUAAGAGCCGUGGCAGGUGUGUGAACACCCCAGCGGUGCUGGCUGGGGCGGCAGGGAUUUUGCGUGGCACUGCAGGGAACCGGCUUUGUGUGGCACUGCAGCUGCCUGCAUAGAGGUCAAAGGCCGCCGUCUGCCUCCCCGCUCCACAGCCUUGGAAUUAAAUCCCGUGCUUCGCAGCACGGCCAGCGGCUUGGACAUCGCCCAGCAGCCCCACAUCUCUGUCCCAGCCUUGCCUGGCUCUCCUCCCCUGGGCCCAGCUCAUCACUGCUCAAUUAGCAAUCCAGACACACACGCUGCGAAGGCCCCGUGGGCUGGGAGAUGCCGCACACACAGGGCCUCAAACUGGGGAGCGGACGGCAGACGUGAUGCACAGGAUUCAGGCUGGAAAUCUGUUCUGUUUGGCCCAUGCAGUAUUUUUGAAAAGUAAAACUAAGCCAAUAUUUUAGAAAGCACAGGCUUUAAUAAAACAUGCAGACUGCCAGCUAGCUUCCCUGGAAAAUCUGGGAGACUCCGAAAAUGUUUCCGGAACACCUGCAGUUACUCUGUGGCAAGCUCUGUUCCUGGCACAGGGGCAACGGCAGUCAGACAAAAGACAAAAGUCGCUGUCGUCAAGGAGCCUCCCUUCCAGCGGGGAAGGCAGACAACAGACAGAAAUGAAACAUGUCAGCUGGUGGUGAGCAUCCUGGAGAAAAAUAAAACAGGGAAAGAAGUUUGAUUUUAAUAGAUGUCAAGGGGUUUUCAUGGAGAGAUGAUGUUUGAUCGAAGACCUAAGGGGGUAGGGGACUGAGCCGUGUGGCUGUCUGAGGCAGAGCAUUUUAAUGGAGGCCAAAGCAAGUGCAAAGGCCCUGGGAUGAGCUGCCUGUCCACCCCCAAGCUCUGCUGCUAUUGCACAACCAACCAGCCACAUCUGGAUGGUUCAGGUUCCUGCAUGCUGGCUUCUCCCUGUCCCUUGAGUGGCAGGGACCUCCUCAGCCUCCCCUGAGCCUGGCUAUGCCUGGAACAAGAAGGAACCGUGCUUUGUGCUCCAAGCCCCUGCCCAAGGACAGAGCCAGUCCGAGAGGUACUAGAGAGAAGGAACUCUGUGCUCCUGGCCUCGAAACAGAGCAUCUCACUGUCACCUCCACAUGGUGCUCCUGAUGCCACACAGCUGCAGCAGACAGCCUGGCCAAGCUCCUAUGUAGGAAUAAGCCCACCCAAGAUCAUCCAAGUCCAGGAUCCACCAGAAGAACCACAAAGCUGGAUGCAAUCCAGUCACCAAACUGACAAACCACAAGGCAAACAAUGGUAGUCGUUCUAAGCUGCUGACAUGGGGCUGGUUUGUUAUGCAGCAAGAACUGACUGACACAGCUGUCUGUUGUGGUUGGAAAAUUAGUGCUCUUGAUCCAGGUCCUGGGAUCCAACCCCAUCUCCCUUCUUUGUUUUGAGUGACUCUGGAAAAUUUGAUAUGCCCCUCUGCAAUGUGUAUAUAAUUCCUGCUCUUGCAGAGUGGCUGGGAAGAGCUAGGGAGUUAAUCUGAAAUGCUAAGCAUCAGCCAGGAAGGAGGACACAGUCUCCAGUAUUGAUGGGCAAAGCCAGCCAUUUAGACAGGGAUCUAAAUGAUUGGUUUGUUCAGGCCUGAGUGAGGCCUUGCAGGGGAUGCAAGGGGCAGACAGCUCUUGCUGUAGUUAUCUUGAUAGGCUCUUAGGAAUAACAUUUUCCUCUGGGAAAAGAUCCCUUUCCUGGCCUCAUUCUGUGUGCCUUGGAUGGGGCUCACUCAAACCUGGUCCCCCUCCUGGCCAGUCAGGGUAGUGCAUCUCUCAGCUCACUAUGAUUGGUUCAGGGCUGGGCACAUGAUCCAGUGUGGGCCAAUGAAAGCUUGUCCCAUGACUUUUGCAGAAUUCUAUAGAAAGAGGUAUUCUCUUUCCAUUGGAGCUGCUAAGCUGGUAGAAUAGAAACCUGCAGCUGCAGUUGAGCACUUUUGCCACCACACAGGAAAAUCUCACCAAAGGAGAAAAAGCAGAGCUGGGAGAUGGAGAAAGACUGAUUUCUGACGAUGGCGUCAGAAUGCCGGAUCCAGCCAUGCCUGAAUCUACCCUGGACAUUUCGGCUCGCAUGAGUUACUAUGCUCCCCCUACCCCUAUGCUCUUCUCAAGCCACGUUUGAAAUGAAUUUCCGCCUCUGCUGCCCUCCUGAGCUUUUCAGCCUCUUCAGGGUGAGACCAAGCUAAUCUAGGGCGAACAGGGAUGCCAAAGUCACCAGCGUUGUCUGCGGUCUGGAGAACAGUAAGACAGUGACUGCACCCGCCCCCCAUACACCUCUCCGUCCUCCACCUCACAGGUCUGUCCCUCAAGCUCCUUAGAGGACAGGAAAGAUUUCCAAGCCAUCUGAGAGCCUGGGCCUGCUGAGAGCCAGCACUCACAAUUAAAAUCCUGUGAUAAUAAACAACAUUAAUUAAAACCAAAA